GUUUGAUCAUGGCUCAGAACGAACGCUGGCGGCAUGCCUAACACAUGCAAGUCGAACGCGUGUAGCAAUACACGAGUGGCGCACGGGUGAGUAACGCGUGGGAACCUGCCCUGGAGUGUGGGAUAACCCGGCGAAAGCCGGGCUAAUACCGCAUACGACCUGAGGGUGAAAGAUUUAUCGCUCUAGGAGGGGCCCGCGUCGGAUUAGCUAGUUGGUGAGGUAACGGCUCACCAAGGCGAUGAUCCGUAGCUGGUCUGAGAGGAUGAUCAGCCACACUGGGACUGAGACACGGCCCAGACUCCUACGGGAGGCAGCAGUGGGGAAUAUUGGACAAUGGGGGCAACCCUGAUCCAGCAAUGCCGCGUGGGCGAUGAAGGCCUUCGGGUUGUAAAGCCCUUUUGCACGCGACGAUGAUGACGGUAGCGUGAGAAGAAGCCCCGGCUAACUUCGUGCCAGCAGCCGCGGUAAUAACCUAAAUAGC
rnacentral:rRNA from 1 species